CCCGACCCCGGGACCCGCCGGGCGCCGCUCCGGCCCGGGGGCAGGCUGCUCGCUGUGCACAGCACUCCGUCGGACUGCUCCGGCCCGCAGACCUUUGCCCAGGCGGCUGCUGACCACCCGACGGCUGCCUGAGGGCCACGGCAGACCUCUCUCGUGUCCGUGGGCCUCCUCAGGCGGCCUGCUCAGCUUGGACUGCAGGAGCAGCCCAGCCCCAUCGCAUCGGUGCCACCUGAACUCCAGCACCUGGCUUGCACUGCAGGGAUUGUGCUGCCUGUGCUUCUGGAGCGCAAGCAUGGAGACUUGUGACCGGCGAGCAGCCCAGCUCUCUUCGCUCAGUGAUCCACAGCCAUGAGACAAGGAGCAAAGACUGCAAACUGGAGCACAGGUUUCACCUCAACAGUACCUGGAGGGGGCCUCCAAGAAAGCUGGAGAGCUCAGCCAAAGGCCAAUAACAGCACCUCUCAGUUGGUUUAAAUCACUUGGUAUCAUCACAACAAAAUCCAUUUCCUACCUUUGCUUGGGAAAGUUCAUGACCCCCCAGGACUUCAGGAAUCCUUCCAUGCAAGAAGAGAGAUCUGAAAAUCACUCGCUCUGGUUCAGGCAUCAGGUAGCCAUUUGGAUCUGAACUUCAUUUCAAACCCCAAAAUGAUAUUUUUUUCUUCAGUUCUGCAUGCAGAGUUUCACCACCUUUGUGUCUGCAGCCAGCACUGUACUCUU